rnacentral:rRNA from 1 species
GGCUCAGAGUGAACGCUGGCGGCGUGCCUAAUACAUGCAAGUCGAACGAUGAAGCUUCUAGCUUGCUAGAAGUGGAUUAGUGGCGCACGGGUGAGUAAUGCAUAGGUAACAUGCCCUUUAGUCUGGGAUAGCCACUGGAAACGGUGAUUAAUACUAGAUAUUCCCUACGGGGGAAAGUUUUUCGCUAAAGGAUUGGCCUAUGUCCUAUCAGCUUGUUGGUGAGGUAAUGGCUCACCAAGGCUAUGACGGGUAUCCGGCCUGAGAGGGUGAUCGGACACACUGGAACUGAGACACGGUCCAGACUCCUACGGGAGGCAGCAGUAGGGAAUAUUGCUCAAUGGGGGAAACCCUGAAGCAGCAACGCCGCGUGGAGGAUGAAGGUUUUCGGAUUGUAAACUCCUUUUGUUAGAGAAGAUAAUGACGGUAUCUAACGAAUAAGCACCGGCUAACUCCGUGCCAGCAGCCGCGGUAAUACGGAGGGUGCAAGCGUUACUCGGAAUCACUGGGCGUAAAGAGCGCGUAGGCGGGGUAGCAAGUCAGAUGUGAAAUCCUAUGGCUUAACUAUAGAACUGCAUUUGAAACUGUUACUCUAGAGUAUGGGAGAGGUAGGUGGAAUUCUUGGUGUAGGGGUAAAAUCCGUAGAGAUCAAGAGGAAUACUCAUUGCGAAGGCGACCUGCUGGAACAUUACUGACGCUGAUGCGCGAAAGCGUGGGGAGCAAACAGGAUUAGAUACCCUGGUAGUCCACGCCCUAAACGAUGAAUGCUAGUUGUUGUGAGGCUUGUCCUUGCAGUAAUGCAGCUAACGCAUUAAGCAUUCCGCCUGGGGAGUACGGUCGCAAGAUUAAAACUCAAAGGAAUAGACGGGGACCCGCACAAGCGGUGGAGCAUGUGGUUUAAUUCGAGGAUACGCGAAGAACCUUACCUAGGCUUGACAUUGAUAGAAUCUACUAGAGAUAGUGGAGUGCCCUUCGGGGAGCUUGAAAACAGGUGCUGCACGGCUGUCGUCAGCUCGUGUCGUGAGAUGUUGGGUUAAGUCCCGCAACGAGCGCAACCCUCGUCCUUAGUUGCUAGCAGUUUGGCUGAGCACUCUAAGGAGACUGCCUUCGUAAGGAGGAGGAAGGUGAGGACGACGUCAAGUCAUCAUGGCCCUUACGCCUAGGGCUACACACGUGCUACAAUGGGGUGCACAAAGAGAUGCAAUACUGUGAAGUGGAGCCAAUCUCAAAAACAUCUCUCAGUUCGGAUUGUAGUCUGCAACUCGACUACAUGAAGCUGGAAUCGCUAGUAAUCGUGAAUCAGCCAUGUCACGGUGAAUACGUUCCCGGGUCUUGUACUCACCGCCCGUCACACCAUGGGAGUUGUAUUUGCCUUAAGUCGGAAUGCUAAACUGGCUACCGCCCACGGCAGAUGCAGCGACUGGGGUGAAGUCGUAACAAGGU